rnacentral:rRNA from 1 species
UUAAGCGACCAAGCGUACACGGUGGAUGCCCUGGCAGUCAGAGGCGAUGAAGGACGUGCUAAUCUGCGAAAAGCGCCGGUAAGGUGAUAUGAACCGCUACAGCCGGCGAUGUCCGAAUGGGGAAACCCAGUGUGAUUCGUCACACUAUCAUUGCGUGAAUACAUAGCGUAAUGAAGCGAACCGGGGGAACUGAAACAUCUAAGUACCCCGAGGAAAAGAAAUCAACCGAGAUUCCCCCAGUAGCGGCGAGCGAACGGGGAGCAGCCCAGAGCCUGCAUCAGCUUGUGUGUUAGUGGAAGCGUCUGGAAAGGCGCACGGUACAGGGUGACAGUCCCGUACACAAAAGCACACAGGCUGUGAGCUCGAUGAGUAGGGCGGGACACGUGGUAUCCUGUCUGAAUAUGGGGGGACCAUCCUCCAAGGCUAAAUACUCCUGACUGACCGAUAGUGAACCAGUACCGUGAGGGAAAGGCGAAAAGAACCCCGGCGAGGGGAGUGAAACAGAACCUGAAACCGUGUACGUACAAGCAGUGGGAGCACCUUCGUGGUGUGACUGCGUACCUUUUGUAUAAUGGGUCAGCGACUUAUAUUCUGUAGCAAGGUUAACCGCAUAGGGGAGCCGAAGGGAAACCGAGUCUUAACCGGGCGCUAAGUUGCAGGGUAUAGACCCGAAACCCGGUGAUCUAGCCAUGGGCAGGUUGAAGGUUGGGUAACACUAACUGGAGGACCGAACCGACUAAUGUUGAAAAAUUAGCGGAUGACCUGUGGCUGGGGGUGAAAGGCCAAUCAAACCGGGAGAUAGCUGGUUCUCCCCGAAAGCUAUUUAGGUAGCGCCUCGUGAAUUCAUCUCCGGGGGUAGAGCACUGUUUCGGCUAGGGGGCCAUCCCGGCUUACCAACCCGAUGCAAACUGCGAAUACCGGAGAAUGUUAUCACGGGAGACACACGGCGGGUGCUAACGUCCGUCGUGAAGAGGGAAACAACCCAGACCGCCAGCUAAGGUCCCAAAGUCAUGGUUAAGUGGGAAACGAUGUGGGAAGGCCCAGACAGCCAGGAUGUUGGCUUAGAAGCAGCCAUCAUUUAAAGAAAGCGUAAUAGCUCACUGGUCGAGUCGGCCUGCGCGGAAGAUGUAACGGGGCUAAACCAUGCACCGAAGCUGCGGCAGCGAACGUGAGUUCGUUGGGUAGGGGAGCGUUCUGUAAGCCGUCGAAGGUGUGCUGUGAGGCAUGCUGGAGGUAUCAGAAGUGCGAAUGCUGACAUAAGUAACGAUAAAGCGGGUGAAAAGCCCGCUCGCCGGAAGACCAAGGGUUCCUGUCCAACGUUAAUCGGGGCAGGGUGAGUCGACCCCUAAGGCGAGGCCGAAAGGCGUAGUCGAUGGGAAACGGGUUAAUAUUCCCGUACUCGGCGUUACUGCGAAGGGGGGACGGAGAAGGCUAUGUUGGCCGGGCGACGGUUGUCCCGGUUUAAGCGUGUAGGCUGAGCAUCCAGGCAAAUCCGGAUGCUUAAGGCUGAGGCGUGACGACGAGGCGCUACGGCGCUGAAGCAACAAAUGCCCUGCUUCCAGGAAAAGCCUCUAAGCAUCAGGUAACGCGGAAUCGUACCCCAAACCGACACAGGUGGUCAGGUAGAGAAUACCAAGGCGCUUGAGAGAACUCGGGUGAAGGAACUAGGCAAAAUGGUGCCGUAACUUCGGGAGAAGGCACGCUGGCGCGUAGGUGAAGGGACUUGCUCCCGGAGCCGAGGCCAGUCGAAGAUACCAGCUGGCUGCAACUGUUUAUUAAAAACACAGCACUGUGCAAACACGAAAGUGGACGUAUACGGUGUGACGCCUGCCCGGUGCCGGAAGGUUAAUUGAUGGGGUCAGCCGCAAGGCGAAGCUCCUGAUCGAAGCCCCGGUAAACGGCGGCCGUAACUAUAACGGUCCUAAGGUAGCGAAAUUCCUUGUCGGGUAAGUUCCGACCUGCACGAAUGGCGUAAUGAUGGCCAGGCUGUCUCCACCCGAGACUCAGUGAAAUUGAACUCGCUGUGAAGAUGCAGUGUACCCGCGGCAAGACGGAAAGACCCCGUGAACCUUUACUACAGCUUGACACUGAACACCGGUCCUUGAUGUGCAGGAUAGGUGGGAGGCUUUGAAGCGCGGACGCCAGUCCGCGUGGAGCCGCCCUUGAAAUACCACCCUUUAAUGGCUGGUGUUCUAACGUUGGCCCGUAAUCCGGGCUGCGGACAGUGUCUGGUGGGUAGUUUGACUGGGGCGGUCUCCUCCCAAAGCGUAACGGAGGAGUACGAAGGUCAGCUAAUCACGGUCGGACAUCGUGAGGUUAGUGCAAUGGCAUAAGCUGGCUUGACUGCGAGCGUGACGGCGCGAGCAGGUGCGAAAGCAGGUCAUAGUGAUCCGGUGGUUCUGAAUGGAAGGGCCAUCGCUCAACGGAUAAAAGGUACUCCGGGGAUAACAGGCUGAUACCGCCCAAGAGUUCAUAUCGACGGCGGUGUUUGGCACCUCGAUGUCGGCUCAUCACAUCCUGGGGCUGAAGUAGGUCCCAAGGGUAUGGCUGUUCGCCAUUUAAAGUGGUACGCGAGCUGGGUUUAGAACGUCGUGAGACAGUUCGGUCCCUAUCUGCCGUGGGCGCUGGAAGACUGAGAGGGGUUGCUCCUAGUACGAGAGGACCGGAGUGAACGCACCGCUGGUGUUCGGGUUGUCAUGCCAAUGGCACUGCCCGGUAGCUACGUGCGGAAGAGAUAAGUGCUGAAAGCAUCUAAGCACGAAACUUGCCUCGAGAUGAGUCUUCCCUGAGGCCUUUGAGCCUCCUGAAGGGACGUUGAAGACGACGACGUUGAUAGGCCGGGUGUGUAAGCGCAGCGAUGCGUUGAGCUGACCGGUACUAAUGACCCGUGAGGCUUAACCUU